CAGUCGCCGCGGGAAUACGUAGGGUCCGAGCGUUGUCCGGAAUUAUUGGGCGUAAAGGGCUCGUAGGCGGUUUGUCGCGUCGGGAGUGAAAACCAGGUGCUUAACACCUGGCCUGCUUUCGAUACGGGCAGACUAGAGGCAUUCAGGGGAGAACGGAAUUCCUGGUGUAGCGGUGAAAUGCGCAGAUAUCAGGAGGAACACCGGUGGCGAAGGCGGUUCUCUGGGAAUGUCCUGACGCUGAGGAGCGAAAGUGUGGGGAGCGAACAGGAUUAGAUACCCCUGUAGUCCCUGUCUCUUAUAC
rnacentral:rRNA from 1 species